GACGAACGCUGGCGGCGUGCUUAACACAUGCAAGUCGAACGAUGAAGCCCAGCUUGCUGGGUGGAUUAGUGGCGAACGGGUGAGUAACACGUGAGUAACCUGCCCUGGACUCUGGGAUAACCCCGAGAAAUCGGAGCUAAUACCGGAUAGGACCCUGUACCGCAUGGUGUGGGGUGGAAAGUUCUUCGGUUUGGGAUGGACUCGCGGCCUAUCAGCUUGUUGGUGAGGUAAUGGCUCACCAAGGCGUCGACGGGUAGCCGGCCUGAGAGGGUGACCGGCCACACUGGGACUGAGACACGGCCCAGACUCCUACGGGAGGCAGCAGUGGGGAAUAGUGCACAAUGGGCGCAAGCCUGAUGCAGCAACGCCGCGUGCGGGAUGACGGCCUUCGGGUUGUAAACCGCUUUUAGUAAGGAAGAAGGGGAGCUUGCUCCUUGACGGUACUUGCAGAAAAAGGACCGGCUAACUACGUGCCAGCCGCCGCCGUAACAC
rnacentral:rRNA from 1 species